UACGUAGGCAGCGAGCGUUGUUCGGAGUUACUGGGCGUAAAGGGUGCGUAGGCGGUUGUUUAAGUUUGGUGUGAAAUCUCCCGGCUCAACUGGGAGGGUGCGCCGAAUACUGAAUGACUAGAGUGCGGGAGAGGAUAGUGGAAUUCCUGGUGUAGCGGUGAAAUGCGUAGAUAUCAGGAGGAACACCAGCGGCGAAGGCGGCGCUCUGGGCCGGAACUGACGCUGAGGAGCGAAAGCGUGGGUAGCGAACAGG
rnacentral:rRNA from 1 species